rnacentral:rRNA from 1 species
AUUGAACGCUGGUGGCAGGCCUAACACAUGCAAGUCGAACGAGUGGCGGACGGGUGAGUAAUGUCUGGGAAACUGCCCGAUGGAGGGGGAUAACUACUGGAAACCGUAGCUAAUACCGCUAACCAUCGGUUGUGCCCAGAUGGGAUUAGCUAGUAGGUGGGGUAACGGCUCACCUAGGCGACGAUCCCUAGCUGGUCUGAGAGGCUGACGAGCCACACUGGAACUGAGACACGGUCCAGACUCCUACGGGAGGCAGCAGUGGGGAAUAUUGCACAAUGGGCGAAAGCCUGAUGCAGCCAUGCCGCGUGUAUGAAGAAGGCCUUCGGGUUGUAAAGUACUUUCAGCGAGGAGGCGUUACUCGCAGAAGAAGCACCGGCUAACUCCGUGCCAGCAGCCGCGGUAAUUC